AAAUGUGCUAAAAUCGUGCUAAAACAAUUGAAUACAAGCUUUUAUUUAAAUAAUUAAUGUGAAAAAAUGAGGAUUGUAUUUGCCUAAAGCAAGAAAUGAUAAUUGGAAUUAUAUUUCUAUGCUAUUGCUUAGUGACCAAGCGACCGCGUGUGUAUCAAAUGUGCUAAAAUCGUGCUAAAACAAUUGAAUACAAGCUUUUAUUUAAAUAAUUAAUGUGAAAAAAUGAGGAUUGUAUUUGCCUAAAGCAAGAAAUGAUAAUUGGAAUUAUAUUUCUAUGCUAUUGCUUAGUGACCAAGCGACCGCGUGUGUAUCAAAUGUGCUAAAAUCGUGCUAAAACAAUUGAAUACAAGCUUUUAUUUAAAUAAUUAAUGUGAAAAAAUGAGGAUUGUAUUUGCCUAAAGCAAGAAAUGAUAAUUGGAAUUAUAUUUCUAUGCUAUUGCUUAGUGACCAAGCGACCGCGUGUGUAUCAAAUGUGCUAAAAUCGUGCUAAAACAAUUGAAUACAAGCUUUUAUUUAAAUAAUUAAUGUGAAAAAAUGAGGAUUGUAUUUGCCUAAAGCAAGAAAUGAUAAUUGGUGCCGUGAUGAUGUCUCGUGGUCUCAGUCAUUGAAUAUGCCAACCUACUAUCAUUAUGAUUUUAAUUACAAAAGAGCACAAGAUGAAAAUUUAUAUACUUGAUUAAUUCAUGUGUAUAUUUCUCCAGCAUGAUGAGGAGCGCAAAUAAUAUUCAUUGGAAUUAUAUUUCUUUGCUAUUGCAUAUGCAUGCAGUGAUGAUGUCUCAUUAAAGUCAUUGAAUAUGCCAACCUACUAUCAUUAUGAUUUUAAUUACAAAAGAGCACAAGAUGAAAAUUUAUAUACUUGAUUAAUUCAUGUGUAUAUUUCUCCAGCAUGAUGAGGAGCGCAAAUAAUAUUCAUUGGAAUUAUAUUUCUUUGCUAUUGCAUAUGCAUGCAGUGAUGAUGUCUCAUUAAAGUCAUUGAAUAUGCCAACCUACUAUCAUUAUGAUUUUAAUUACAAAAGAGCACAAGAUGAAAAUUUAUAUACUUGAUUAAUUCAUGUGUAUAUUUCUCCAGCAUGAUGAGGAGCGCAAAUAAUAUUCAUUGGAAUUAUAUUUCUUUGCUAUUGCAUAUGCAUGCAGUGAUGAUGUCUCAUUAAAGUCAUUGAAUAUGCCAACCUACUAUCAUUAUGAUUUUAAUUACAAAAGAGCACAAGAUGAAAAUUUAUAUACUUGAUUAAUUCAUGUGUAUAUUUCUCCAGCAUGAUGAGGAGCGCAAAUAAUAUUCAUUGGAAUUAUAUUUCUUUGCUAUUGCAUAUGCAUGCAGUGAUGAUGUCUCAUUAAAGUCAUUGAAUAUGCCAACCUACUAUCAUUAUGAUUUUAAUUACAAAAGAGCACAAGAUGAAAAUUUAUAUACUUGAUUAAUUCAUGUGUAUAUUUCUCCAGCAUGAUGAGGAGCGCAAAUAAUAUUCAUUGGAAUUAUAUUUCUUUGCUAUUGCAUAUGCAUGCAGUGAUGAUGUCUCAUUAAAGUCAUUGAAUAUGCCAACCUACUAUCAUUAUGAUUUUAAUUACAAAAGAGCACAAGAUGAAAAUUUAUAUACUUGAUUAAUUCAUGUGUAUAUUUCUCCAGCAUGAUGAGGAGCGCAAAUAAUAUUCAUUGGAAUUAUAUUUCUUUGCUAUUGCAUAUGCAUGCAGUGAUGAUGUCUCAUUAAAGUCAUUGAAUAUGCCAACCUACUAUCAUUAUGAUUUUAAUUACAAAAGAGCACAAGAUGAAAAUUUAUAUACUUGAUUAAUUCAUGUGUAUAUUUCUCCAGCAUGAUGAGGAGCGCAAAUAAUAUUCAUUGGAAUUAUAUUUCUUUGCUAUUGCAUAUGCAUGCAGUGAUGAUGUCUCAUUAAAGUCAUUGAAUAUGCCAACCUACUAUCAUUAUGAUUUUAAUUACAAAAGAGCACAAGAUGAAAAUUUAUAUACUUGAUUAAUUCAUGUGUAUAUUUCUCCAGCAUGAUGAGGAGCGCAAAUAAUAUUCAUUGGAAUUAUAUUUCUUUGCUAUUGCAUAUGCAUGCAGUGAUGAUGUCUCAUUAAAGUCAUUGAAUAUGCCAACCUACUAUCAUUAUGAUUUUAAUUACAAAAGAGCACAAGAUGAAAAUUUAUAUACUUGAUUAAUUCAUGUGUAUAUUUCUCCAGCAUGAUGAGGAGCGCAAAUAAUAUUCAUUGGAAUUAUAUUUCUUUGCUAUUGCAUAUGCAUGCAGUGAUGAUGUCUCAUUAAAGUCAUUGAAUAUGCCAACCUACUAUCAUUAUGAUUUUAAUUACAAAAGAGCACAAGAUGAAAAUUUAUAUACUUGAUUAAUUCAUGUGUAUAUUUCUCCAGCAUGAUGAGGAGCGCAAAUAAUAUUCAUUGGAAUUAUAUU